GACGAACGCUGGCGGCGUGCUUAACACAUGCAAGUCGAACGGAAAGGCCCCUUUGGGGGUACUCGAGUGGCUAACGGGUGAGUAACACGUGAGUAACCUGCCCUUGACUUCGGGAUAACUUCAGGAAACUGGGGCUAAUACCGUACAGGAAUCCUUGCUGCAUGGUGGGGGUUGGAAAGCUUCGGCGGUUUUGGAUGGACUCGCGGCUCAUCAGCUUGUUGGUGGGGUAGUGGCUUACCAAGGCUUUGACGGGUAGCCGGCCUGAGAGGGAGACCGGCCACAUUGGGACUGAGACACGGCCCAGACUCCUACGGGAGGCAGCAGUGGAGAGUAUUGCACAAUGGGCGGAAGCCUGAUGCAGCAACGCCGCGUGCGGGAUGACGGCCUUCGGGUUGUAAACCGCUUUCAGCAGGGGCGAAGCUUGUGGUGACGGUACCUGCAGAAGAGGCACCGGCUAACUACGUG
rnacentral:rRNA from 1 species